AAUGAUGAGAUUAUGUCCAGGAUGAGUUUUCUCUGAAAGGAAGCGCCUAAGGAUGAGUCGGCACCCGAUUAGGUUGUUGGUGGGGUAAUGUAUUACCGAAGGUGAUAUUUAAAAAACCUUGGUUUUUUAUAUGCCCACCAAGCCGAAGAUCGGUAGGGGCCUUGAGAGAGGUAGCCCCGAGGAGGACACUGAGAUAAGGGUCCUGACUCUACGGAGUAUAGCAAGUGCGAAAACUUUACAAUACACGAAAGUGUGAUAAGGGGAUUCUGAGUGCUUAUGCUUUGCAUAGGCUUUUGCCUAGAGUAAAGAUCUAGGAGAAUAAGUGGUGGGCAAGACUGGUGCCAGCAGCCGCGGUAACACCAGCGCCACAAGUGGGGACCAGUAUUAUUGGGCCUAAAGCGUUCGUAGCCGGUUAGAUAAAUCUCCUGUGAAAUUGUUGGGCUUAACCUAACAGCGUGCAGAAGACACUAUUUAACUUGAGACCGGGAGGAGUCAGAGGUAUUCAUGGGGUAGCGGUAAAAUGCAAUAAUCCUAUGAGGACCACCAGUGGCGAAGGCGUCUGACUAGAACGGGUCUGACGGUGAGGAACGAAAGCCAGGGGAGCGAACCGGAUUAGAUACCCGAGUAGUCCUGGCCGUAAACGCUGCGAG
rnacentral:rRNA from 1 species